UACGAAGGGGGCUAGCGUUGCUCGGAAUGACUGGGCGUAAAGGGCGCGUAGGCGGAUGGCUUUGUCGGGCGUGAAAUUCCAGGGCUUAACCUUGGGGCUGCGUUCGAGACGGGUUGUCUUGAGUGGGGAAGAGGGUCGUGGAAUUCCCAGUGUAGAGGUGAAAUUCGUAGAUAUUGGGAAGAACACCGGUGGCGAAGGCGGCUCACUGGACCGGUAUUGACGCUGAGGUGCGAAAGCGUGGGGAGCAAACAGG
rnacentral:rRNA from 1 species